rnacentral:rRNA from 1 species
GACGAACGCUGGCGGCGUGCUUAACACAUGCAAGUCGAACGGAAAGGCCCUGCUUGCAGGGUACUCGAGUGGCGAACGGGUGAGUAACACGUGGGUGAUCUGCCCUGCACUUCGGGAUAAGCCUGGGAAACUGGGUCUAAUACCGGAUAGGAGCCAUUUUUAGUGUGAUGGUUGGAAAGUUUUUUCGGUGUAGGAUGAGCUCGCGGCCUAUCAGCUUGUUGGUGGGGUAAUGGCCUACCAAGGCGGCGACGGGUAGCCGGCCUGAGAGGGUGGACGGCCACAUUGGGACUGAGAGACGGCCCAGACUCCUACGGGAGGCAUCAGUGGGGAAUAUUGCACAAUGGGCGCAAGCCUGAUGCAGCGACGCCGCGUGGGGGAUGACGGCCUUCGGGUUGUAAACUCCUUUCGCUAGGGACGAAGCUUUUUGUGACGGUACCUAGAUAAGAAGCACCGGCUAACUACGUG